rnacentral:rRNA from 1 species
AUUGAACGCUGGCGGCAGGCCUAACACAUGCAAGUCGAACGAGUGGCGGACGGGUGAGUAAUGUCUGGGAAACUGCCCGCUGGAGGGGGAUAACUACUGGAAACGGUAGCUAAUACCGCAUACCAUCGGAUGUGCCACGAUGGGAUUAGCUAGUAGGUGGGGUAACGGGUCACCUAGGCGACGAUCCCUAGCUGGUCUGAGAGGAUGACCAGCCACACUGGAACUGAGAAACGGUCCAGACUCCUACGGGAGGCAGCAGUGGGGAAUAUUGCACAAUGGGCGCAAGCCUGAUGCAGCCAUGCCGCGUGAAUGAAGAAGGCCUGCGGGUUGUAAAGUACUGUCAGCGAGGAGGCGUUACUCGCAGAAGAAGCACCGGCUAACUCCGUGCCAGCAGCCGCGGUAAUUC